AGCAGUCGCCGCGGUAAUACGUAGGGUGCGAGCGUUAAUCGGAAUUACUGGGCGUAAAGCGUGCGCAGGCGGUUGUGUAAGACAGGUGUGAAAUCCCCGGGCUUAACCUGGGAACUGCGCUUGUGACUGCACAGCUAGAGUAUGGCAGAGGGGGGUGGAAUUCCACGUGUAGCAGUGAAAUGCGUAGAGAUGUGGAGGAACACCGAUGGCGAAGGCAGCCCCCUGGGCCAAUACUGACGCUCAUGCACGAAAGCGUGGGGAGCAAACAGGAUUAGAGACCCCUGUAGUCCCUGUCUCUUAUAC
rnacentral:rRNA from 1 species